GACGAACGCUGGCGGCGUGCUUAACACAUGCAAGUCGAACGGAAAGGCCCUGCUUUUGUGGGGUGCUCGAGUGGCGAACGGGUGAGUAACACGUGAGUAACCUGCCCUUGACUUUGGGAUAACUUCAGGAAACUGGGGCUAAUACCGGAUAGGAGCUCCUGCUGCAUGGUGGGGGUUGGAAAGUUUGGGCGGUUGGGGAUGGACUCGCGGCUUAUCAGCUUGUUGGUGGGGUAGUGGCUUACCAAGGCUUUGACGGGUAGCCGGCCUGAGAGGGUGACCGGCCACAUUGGGGCUAAGAUACGGCCCAGACUCCUACGGGAGGCAGCAGUGGGGAAUAUUGCACAGUGGGAGGAAGCCGGAUGCAGCAACGCCGCGUGUGGGAUGACGGCCUUCGGGUUGUAAACCGCUUUCGCCUUAGACGAAGCGUGAGUGACGGUAAUGGGUAAAGAAGCACCGGCUAACUCCGUG
rnacentral:rRNA from 1 species